ACGGGUGAGUAACACGUGACCAACCUACCCUCAAGUGGGGGAUAACUCGCCGAAAGGCGAGCUAAUACCGCAUAAAACGUAUCUCGGCAUCGGGAAACGUUAGAAGAAGCAAUUCGCUCGAGGACGGGGUCGCGCCCCAUUAGCUAGUUGGUGAGGUAACGGCUCACCAAGGCAUCGAUGGGUAGCUGGUUUGAGAGAGCGACCAGCCACACUGGGACUGAGAAACGGCCCAG
rnacentral:rRNA from 1 species